AACCCUUGCUUCUGCUCACUCACUGCGUACAAAUUAUACCUGGGUGUUGGCAACCAGCCAUUCCUUCGCCAAUGAAGUAUAUCCUGGUCACUGGAGGGGUCAUCUCUGGCAUUGGUAAAGGGAUCAUCGCCAGCAGCAUUGGGACAAUUCUCAAAUCAUGUGGACUCCGAGUCACUGCCAUCAAAAUCGACCCCUAUAUUAAUAUUGACGCUGGGACCUUUUCACCUUAUGAACACGAUUGCUGAUAACAUUCCAAAUUAGUCAGCGCUUUUGGAAGCAUUAUACCUUUUGCCGUGGAUUAUGUUUUGUUUUAUCAUAAAGGUAAUAUAUUUCUCUAAAC